rnacentral:tRNA from 1 species
GGGCCUGUAGUAUAAUGGUUAUUAUGCACGAAUGGCAUUCGUGUGAUUCGGGUUCAAUUCCCGACAGGUCCA